UACGUAGGUCCCGAGCGUUGUUCGGAUUUAUUGGGCGUAAAGCGAGCGCAGGUGGUUUAUUAAGUCUGGUGUAAAAGGCAGUGGCUCAACCAUUGUAUGCAUUGGAAACUGGUAGACUUGAGUGCAGGAGAGGAGAGUAGAAUUCCAUGUGUAGCGGUGAAAUGCGUAGAUAUAUGGAGGAACACCGGUGGCGAAAGCGGCUCUCUGGCCUGUAACUGACACUGAGGCUCGAAAGCGUGGGGAGCAAACAGG
rnacentral:rRNA from 1 species